UACGAAGGGGCUAGCGUUGCUCGGAAUCACUGGGCGUAAAGGGUGCGUGAGGCGGGUCUUUAAGUCAGGGGUGAAAUCCUGGAGCUCAACUCCAGAACUGCCUUGAUACUGAGGAUCUUGAGUUCGGGAGAGGUGAGUGGAACUGCGAGUGUAGAGGUGAAAUUCGUAGAUAUUCGCAAGAACACCAGUGGCGAAGGCGGCUCACUGGCCCGAUA
rnacentral:rRNA from 1 species